AAAAAAUUAGUUAAAUAAAAUAACAUCAGAAUGUCAAACUGAAAUUAUUAAAUCAUUAAUAUUUUUUA
rnacentral:tRNA from 1 species